rnacentral:lncRNA from 1 species
AAGAAGGAGGCGGCGGCGGCGGCCGGAGCUGGAGGGGGAGGAGGGGAGGAACCUGAUCCUCGGUAGCGAAGGGCUGGAGGCAAACACCGAGCUCCCCCUGAGCCGCCUGGGAGCAGGGAGGGUUCUGCUACCCUGAGGGGCCCUCCCCGCGGGGCAGAGGGGACCAGCCCAACAUGGCUUCCAACACAGAGACCAGAAGGACCCAAUAAGAGACCGAAGACACGACUGAUAAUACAGAAAGGAGGGUGAUGCUGUGUGCAAGGCAGAUACAAGAUGGUUUUUCCAUAAGAGGAAGUGAUCAUGGCAACCAUGACCUUCUCUGACCUUCUCUCUUCCAAGAGGCUGUUGGGAAGGUGGGAUGACCUAGGAUUGACCUUGGACUUGACAUCACAGAAGCCAUUUCAACCUUCACAGGGUUUCCUCAGCAGUGCCCCGGAGCAGGGACCGCGCCAGCCAGCAGAAACAGCUAGUUGUUGUCUGCAGUGAAGAAUAAUUGGAAGCAUGGUGCCUGUUUCUUUUCCUGUGGGAGGAAGUCACAGCAUCUACUUCUGAAUCUGUGCUUGCCUUGAGGAAAAACGGCAUGGCACAGGAAUGUGGACGCUUUCAACCAGAGGAUUCUGUACGACGGUGUCGGCACACAAGGAGUGUUCCACUGACUGACCUCUUUUUGUUUUCAAAUGAAGAGGAGCCAAGAAUAGGACAGCUUGGGAAGGUGAGCUGCGUAUAGCUCGUCAGGCUGAGCUCAUCCUCGUCUACGGCCAAACGUUGGUUUCUCAUUUCUAGAAGAUGAAAGAUGUGAUGACUCAGGAAAAACUGGAAUCUUAGUAACUGUGGUGGGCAUUGAGCCUUGCCGUCCACAAGAGAAAGCUUGCUGCUCGAGAUGUGAGUCUUCAGAUGUUCCUGCCGCCAUAUCUGACAGCUGCUGCCAAGAUUCCCUGGUGGGAUGGACUCUUAUACCUCAACAACCAGAAGCCCAAGUAAACUCUUCUAUAAAUUGAAUGACUCAUGCUUAAAAAAAAAAACAAAAAACAAACUAUCUUUA